CCAAAGUGAAGUUGUUGAAGUUUUAAUGAAGUUUAUGCAUGAAACUGGAGUAGUUAGAAGAUAAAGCCAUGAUUUUACACACUCCAAUAUGGGUGGCGGUAUGCACCUUUAACGCCAUAAAACUAAACGAAGAAGAAGAAGACAACACCUGCGUGACGUCACAGCUAGAUUGAACUCAAAUCCCGGAAAAACACAAACGACCACAAAUGUGUCAACUUUCGCAGUUGCGUAAACGAACAUCAUUUCAGUCAUAAAAGAAGGGCGUGCACCAUGCCUACAGCUGACCGUGUUGGACUGACCCACUGUAAGUUUGCCCUGGUGUUGGCAGUCCUCCUGGAUCUUCUCGGGGUGUCUGCUCUUCUGAUCGGUGUGUUCGUGCCGCUUGAGGUCGGGGGUCGCGACUUUGGGGAUCUGUUGUUGUAUUCGGGAGCUCUGCUGGUGUUGAUGUCUAUGGGGGGCUGGGUCAUGUGGUACAGUGGGAAUAUUGAGGGUUUGAAAUCAGGGACUGAGCUGACACACAAACGCAACGCCGUGGAGCGGCUCGCUCGCACCCUGAGCCGCCGCAUACGGAAGCCCCACCGCGGCCGCAGCACGCCCUGAGCCCCGCGCGAGGCCAACAUCUCAGAUGGAAAAUGGUUCGAUAAGCACGGAUGAAGGCUAACAGAUACAGUAUGAUUGUUACAAUGUGGUGUUUGAUGCUACUACUACAAAAACUAUGAAAUUGCAGUUAUGUGGAACUGUAGUGUAAUGUACAUUUUUUUUUACACGUAAUUCUGUAGCCUAUUUCUUUUUUGCAGCAACACUUUUAUACAGUAUAUAUAUAUCUUCUGUUGUGAAAAACAUGGGUGAUAAAAAAAAUUUAAGCACUGAUCAGUUUUUCAUAAUUUAAAACCGAGCAUGCAGCAUUGGAGCUUCAUUUUAACAAUACUGAAUAGUU